AGAGUUUGAUCCUGGCUCAGAUUGAACGCUGGCGGCAUGCUUUACACAUGCAAGUCGGACGGCAGCACAGAGAAGCUUGCUUCUUGGGUGGCGAGUGGCGAACGGGUGAGUAAUAUAUCGGAACGUACCGAGUAAUGGGGGAUAACUAAUCGAAAGAUUAGCUAAUACCGCAUAUUCUCUGAGGAGGAAAGCAGGGGACCUUCGGGCCUUGCGUUAUUCGAGCGGCCGAUAUCUGAUUAGCUAGUUGGUGGGGUAAAGGCCUACCAAGGCGACGAUCAGUAGCGGGUCUGAGAGGAUGAUCCGCCACACUGGGACUGAGACACGGCCCAGACUCCUACGGGAGGCAGCAGUGGGGAAUUUUGGACAAUGGGCGCAAGCCUGAUCCAGCCAUGCCGCGUGUCUGAAGAAGGCCUUCGGGUUGUAAAGGACUUUUGUCAGGGAAGAAAAGGCUGUUGCUAAUACCGACAGCUGAUGACGGUACCUGAAGAAUAAGCACCGGCUAACUACGUGCCAGCAGCCGCGGUAAUACGUAGGGUGCGAGCGUUAAUCGGAAUUACUGGGCGUAAAGCGAGCGCAGACGGUUACUUAAGCAGGAUGUGAAAUCCCCGGGCUCAACCUGGGAACUGCGUUCUGAACUGGGUGACUAGAGUGUGUCAGAGGGAGGUAGAAUUCCACGUGUAGCAGUGAAAUGCGUAGAGAUGUGGAGGAAUACCGAUGGCGAAGGCAGCCUCCUGGGAUAACACUGACGUUCAUGCUCGAAAGCGUGGGUAGCAAACAGGAUUAGAUACCCUGGUAGUCCACGCCCUAAACGAUGUCAAUUAGCUGUUGGGCAACUUGAUUGCUUAGUAGCGUAGCUAACGCGUGAAAUUGACCGCCUGGGGAGUACGGUCGCAAGAUUAAAACUCAAAGGAAUUGACGGGGACCCGCACAAGCGGUGGAGCAUGUGGUUUAA
rnacentral:rRNA from 1 species